rnacentral:rRNA from 1 species
AUGGCGCCGCCGUCGCAGGCGGCCACCGGCAAGCGGAAGAAGCAGCACAAACCCGCUAAGAGCCUCGCCGUGAAAUCAACCAAUCCCGUCUCGAAGAAGACGCACAAGCAGAAGAAGCCGCGCCCACCUGCUGAGCAGGACCAAACCAACGCCGCCGCCGCCGCCGCAGGUGAACCCGCGGGCGGUGGCGUCCUCUUGUCAGCCGCGCUGCCGCCGGCGCGGCAGCUCGAGUUCCUUCUCCGCAGCUUCGAGCGCGCCGCCAAGAUGCGCCUCUCCCCACUCGAGCUCGGCGCCUACUCCGAGGGGUGCAUGGUGCAGCUCGCCGAGGGGGCGAGCCAGGACGUUGAGAGCUUCGGUGACCAUGUGAAGGGGGCCUUCGGAGCGACGUGGAAGGGGGAGCUCUGUGAGGGGAAGCUUGUUGAGGGGUCGAUCGAUGCGGGCAGCCCGGCGCUCCUGGUUAUCAGCUUGGGUGCUCUGAGAUCACUGGAGCUUCUGAGGGGGUUAAAGAUGUUUACUAGAGGAUGCCGUUCAGUAAAGCUCUUUGCCAAACACAUGAAAGUGGAGGAGCAGGUCGCGCUACUUAAAGAUCGAGUUAAUAUAGCCUGUGGUACACCCAGCAGAAUAAAGAAACUAAUUGACAUGGAAGCUUUAUCGCUGUCACGCGUGAAAUUAGUGGUACUCGACAUGCAGAGGGACCCAAAGUCAUUUAAUUUGUUUACGCUACCGCAAGUCAGCAACGAGUUUUGGGACCUGUACAAGGGAUAUCUAGAUGAGAAGGUUAGAGGAGGCGACACAAGAAUAUGCUUUUACGGUGCUGUUUCUGAGAAAGAUGCCAAUAAAGUCCUAACGCCUGCUGAGUAA